GCCCUCUUGGCUUAGUGGUAAAGCGUAUCACUAGUAAUGAUAAGAUCGCUAGUUCGAUUCUGGCAGAGGGCA